GAGUUUGAUCCUGGCUCAGGAUGAACGCUGGCGGCAUGCCUAAUACAUGCAAGUCGAACGAGAGGAAGGAAAGCUUGCUUUCCUGAAUCUAGUGGCGAACGGGUGAGUAACACGUAGGUAACCUGCCCAUGUGCCCGGGAUAACUUCUGGAAACGGAUGCUAAAACCGGAUAGGUAGCAGACAAGCAUUUGACUGCUAUUAAAGUGGCCUUGGCCAUGAACAUGGAUGGACCUGCGGUGCAUUAGCUAGUUGGUGAGGUAACGGCCCACCAAGGCGACGAUGCAUAGCCGGCCUGAGAGGGCGGACGGCCACAUUGGGACUGAGACACGGCCCAAACUCCUACGGGAGGCAGCAGUAGGGAAUUUUCGUCAAUGGGGGGAACCCUGAACGAGCAAUGCCGCGUGAGUGAGGAGGGUCUUCGGAUCGUAAAGCUCUGUUGUAAGAGAAAAACGGCACUCAUAGGGAAUGAUGAGUGAGUGAUGGUAUCUUACCAGAAAGUCACGGCUAACUACGUGCCAGCCGCCGCGGUAAUUC
rnacentral:rRNA from 1 species